CGAUGAUGCAUAGCCCGAGUUGAGAGACUGAUCGGGCCACAUUGGGGACUGAGACACGGGACCCAAAACUACCUACGGGGAGGCAGCAGUAGGGAAUCUUCCACAAUGGACGAAAGUCUGAUGGAGCAACGCCGCGUGAGUGAAGAAGGUUUUCGGAUCGUAAAAGCUCUGUUGUUGGUGAAGAAGGAUAGAGGUAGUAACUGGCCUUUAUUUGACGGUAAUCAACCAGAAGUCACGGCUAACUACGUGCCAGCAGCCGCGGUAAU
rnacentral:rRNA from 1 species